rnacentral:rRNA from 1 species
UACAGAGGUCCCAAGCGUUGUUCGGAUUUACUGGGCGUAAAGGGUGCGUAGGCGGUUCGAUAAGUCUGACGUAAAAUCUCCAAGCUUAACUUGGAAACUGCGGUGGAUACUGACGAGCUAGAGUUUUUGAGAGGAAGCCGGAAUUCUCGGUGUAGCAGUGAAAUGCGUAGAUAUCGAGAGGAACAUCAGUGGCGAAAGCGGGCUUCUGGAAAAAUACUGACGCUAAGGCACGAAAGCUAGGGGAGCAAACGGG